CUCCGUUGGUGAUCUCCUCACUGGCUUCAAAACGGAGUCCAAAUUCUAAGCCAAGGCAAGGAUGUGAAGGAGCAAAGGUGCCCAUUCUCGCACAAGAGGUGAACAUGGUUCCACGGUGAAGAAAUCAGAAUAUGACAAGAUGGCCAAUGUAUUCUGGGUAGUACUCGGAAAUGACCAUUCCGCUCAAAAACUAUGGGUGGAUUGCAAGCUGCCUGCAAAUUCUUUCCCAUGGGGACACUGCAUGCAACUUUACAGUGUGGCUCUGCAGCUCUUCCCCCACAACAAGAGUCUGUGUCUUCGUCCCUGAAAUCUGGACUCGGCCUUGUGACUUGCUUUGGCCAAUUGGACAAGCAGAGGUUUGAAAAGUGCUUGUAUGUUGAGAUCCACCUUCUCUUGCUGCUGAAAACCCUUCUGCUACCACAUGUAGGAGUCUUGGCUUGCUUCCUUGAGAAUGAGAAGCCAUGUGGAGAAAGACUUCCAUCAUCUCAACUCUUCCCUAAUUGAGUGAGACCACCCUAAUCGAUGCAAGCCUAGACAAGAACCACCCAGUCAACACACAGAAUUGUGCAAAAUAACUAAGCUGCUAAGCUUUUGGGUGUUUUGUCAUGCAGUAGACGCUCCCUGAUGCUGAUGCCUUCUGGGGGGACUCUGUAGCAUCCUGCUUCUCAUCCAAUCCUUUGGCUCCAAGGUGAGGGCCCCAGUCUUUAUAAGAUCUACUAUCACAUGAUCUAGUGGCCAUUGUUAGACUUCACUUCCUCCAACUGCCUUCAGUCCCCAUCAGCCCAGUCUCAUGGUGAUUUUCCCACUGAGAAAAUCACAACUCUGUCUUAUACACUAACGGCCUUGGCACAUUUUGCUAUUCUGUGAUUCUUCUUUGAGCCACUUAUUGAGAGGAGGAAGGGCAGGUAUUGAUGGUAGAGAAGGAGGAGAGACUUGCUCUGGCUGUAGGACACAGAGCGAGGUCGUACGUGGGAAGGAGCGCCUGGUUGAAGCUGUGCAGGUUGAUGACAGGAAGGGGAGAGGAGGCCACCUGUGCCCACCCAGAUCGUGCCACAUGAGACGUAAUGGAGCGCACUGGGCAGACGCACUGGCUAGGCCGUCAUACUGCUGCGCUUGAGUCCUCACUCAGCCUUUACCUGCUGCGUCAUCUUUGACGAAAGAUACUGCUGUGUUCAGGACACCAAAGAGUCCCAAAAGCUCCAAUAUCAGUUAGCUAUUGCUGCAUAACAAAGCUGUCCAAAAUGUAGUAGCUUUUAAAACAACAACAUUUAUUAUUUUACACAAUUUGUGCCAUCUUCGGGAAACUUGACCUCUCUGUAUGAAAAUUUCUUAAUUUGUGAAAUGGAAAAAUGCCAGGAUGUACUUCAUGAUGUAAACCUCUUAGAACGCUAUGUAGUGCUCUGUCAUAGUGGAACACUAAAAAAUGUUCGUUCUUAAAAA